GACGAACGCUGGCGGCGUGCCUAAUACAUGCAAGUGGGACGCAAGGGAACACACUGUGCUUGCACACCGUGUUUUCUUGAGUCGCGAACGGGUGAGUAACGCGUAGGUAACCUGCCUAUUAGCGGGGGAUAACUAUUGGAAACGAUAGCUAAUACCGCAUAAUAUUAAUUAUUGCAUGAUAAUUGAUUGAAAGAUGCAAGCGCAUCACUAGUAGAUGGACCUGCGUUGUAUUAGCUAGUUGGUAAGGUAAGAGCUUACCAAGGCGACGAUACAUAGCCGACCUGAGAGGGUGAUCGGCCACACUGGGACUGAGACACGGCCCAGACUCCUACGGGAGGCAGCAGUAGGGAAUCUUCGGCAAUGGACGAAAGUCUGACCGAGCAACGCCGCGUGAGUGAAGAAGGUUUUCGGAUCGUAAAGCUCUGUUGUAAGUCAAGAACGUGUGUGAGAGUGGAA
rnacentral:rRNA from 1 species